CUGCGAAUGGCUCAUUAUAUCAGUUAUAGUUUAUUUGAGAAGUCCUAAUUGGAUAACCGUAGUAAUUCUAGAGCUAAUAAAGAAAAAAGUCUUGUAGACUGCAUUUAUUAGAAUGAAAACCAUAGGUUUCGGCCUAUUCGUGAGUAAUAAUAACUAAUCAUAUCGUAUGCUUAUGUAACGAUGUGUCUUUCAAGUUUCUGCCCUAUCAGCUUUCGAUGGUAGUGUAUUGGACUACCAUG
rnacentral:rRNA from 1 species